AGAGCCUGAAAGGAAAGAAGUAAAAAUACAAGUAUCUUAGUCUCCUGAGGGUUCAGAUUUGCAUAUUGGACAAUAAUACUGUACUUGUGGGAGAUGCAUAUCUAUACCUCUGUGUCAACAAUUGCAAUAUAAACCCCCAUGUUCUUCAAACAGUAAAGGCAGAAACAGGAAAUUCAAAAAAAAGAAAAAAAAGAAAAAAAAAAAGAAAAUCCUAAUUAUAAAUACUUUUUGUAGGGUAGAUUUAUCAUUAUCUCUCUCGUAUCUUGAAGAUAACCAGAACACAAAGGAAUGAAGGGAAUUGCCUAUGGAUACAGGCAGGACAUCUGGACAAAAAGGAAGGAAACCAAGCCAGGCUGCACUCUGGUGAGAUUUACCCUGCCGUAGAUCCUGCUACAAGUUGGCCCUGCAGCACCAAGUCUCUAAACCCUUUGCCCCCUUCACUGUCUUCUAGCUGACGGUACUUAUUUCAAAACAUAUAAGGGAUGUGCACGUCUGAUGGGUGCGGUGUUUAUUUGGGGCUAUUCAGAAAGCACAGGCACUCUGCAAAGUGUCAUUGGAAAAAUAUGGCAUGCAAAUGCAGGCAGGCUAUCACUUGCCCCAGAGUCAGCAUCACCUGCUUUGCACUUAACCUCGCUAACCUGAAACGGGCCCUCUCGUGACACCUAGCUUGCCCUUCCCUGCCAUUAGGCAGAUGGCCCCAGCUGUACAAAAUGUAGCCCUGCCUAUAUUUAUUGGUGGGUGGUUGCCCUACCUUUGUUUCCCACCUGCAGCGCUUAUUGCUCCUUUCACCAGCUCUUCCACUACAGCUUCCCUUGUCACAGAUCAAUUCCUGAAUGUGGUGACAGUCUGGCCCACAAGCUACACAGCCCAUGGAGCUAAAGGACAUGGGGACAGCCAGCACUGCUGAGGCGAGGUAUCCACUUGGAAAACAGGGCCCUACCUUACAUUGCUGAUCAGGCUGGGUUUCUUGUGCUACCUUCCACUCCUGCACCUCGAAAGCAGCUCUGGUCCUGCAGGAGCGGCUGUCCCAGCUCUCCUGGAAGACAAGGCAGGCUCUUCUGCUGGACUGUGCCCUGCAAGCAAGGAGACAGAAAACACUAUGAAAUCAGGGUGGAAGCAGCGUGGAAAAGAGAACCUGGAACAGCAGGACUUUACCACAUUUUUGUCUCCAGGUUUUGUCAUUGCCACUUGACGCAGAGCAGAAAAUACCACCUCUUUAGAACCGGUGACUAGCUACAAUUUAUUGGGACUGGGCUGUUGCUAAACACACGGAGUAGCAAUGUGUUAACACAUUUUAAAAGGCUGUUUGAUCACCAUGGGAUUCCAGAUGAGCUAACAACAGAAAAUAAGCCGUGAUUCACAAAUGACUCAUUUCAGCAUUUCUCUUUGAUGCAGCAGUUCAAGCAAGCCCUGUCUGUGCACAUUCAAAUGAGCGCACUGAAUAGUCAUUGAGCCCGGCAAUGCCAUGCUUACAAAGUCGUUUUCACACAGUUUAAGUAUAGUUUUAAGUAUAAAAUUGGGCAAUUUCUAGCAAGCCGUGACAACGUGAUUCUUACUCACUCCAGCCGGUAACUUUUGCUCCGUUUAAAGUACAAUAUAAAUACUAAUAUUUCCGUGAUCGAGGGGAGAGGGUGGUCCUGAGAAAUCACCGCGCCGCGAGGGGAUGCGCCUCCCGCCGGCUCGAGGCCACGGCAGCCCCGGCUCUGCGGCGCUCGGCCCCGCUGCCGGCCUCCUCUUUUCGCUCCCACUUCUCCCAACAGCAGCAAAACCCGGUGCAUGUUUUGGCCAACAUUGCCAUCCAGUGGCACAGGGGAUAAAUGACAGCGGAGAGACAGCGCCGGCUUGAGGGUGUGGGGGGUGAACUGCAGCAGAUCGCCGCUGCACGGUUUAGACUAAAUUUGGACGGCUGCACCUCUUUACUGGCAGCUUGCAAGAAGCGGCUGUUAAUCGGGGUGCCGUGGGGAAAAAAGAUGGUGAGCGUGUCACCUCAGCACGAGGUGCUGUGCUGGUACCCGGCCCAUCUAGAGGGUGGCUGCCAGCGGAUCCUAAAUCCUGCUUUUAUGGGGAGGGUGUGCUUUUGGUUGGUUGGUUUUCCUGGGAUAACUCCAUGGUGCUUUAGUAGGCAGAAGCUUGUUUUAUUAUUGCUUUACAGAUUAGAGUGACUAAGUUGCAAUAUAGAAGGUCUCUAAUUCAUUCAUCUUUUUUUUUUUUUUUUUUCUGAGAUGCUUCUAGUCAGGAUGCUCUUAAGAACCUCAAGUGAUCCAAAACUAUUGGAGAAAAAUAUACAAAAACAUAGAUUUUCCUUUCUAGAAAACUUUAAGUUCUAGGCUUUGGAACGUACCUGCUAUUCAUGCCUUGGCCACAGUGUUCACACAUUCUUGUGAUCACACAUUCAGUGAUCACACAUUCUUGUCUGAUCAUCUGAAUUAUCCGGGUCCCUCUCCUAGCCCAAAUAAGCCAAUAAGAGUCAUUUUUCAAGGCAAUUAGCGGGGAAAAAAAUCUGCCGGGGUGAAGUGGUUGCAUAAAAGGAAUGAAAAGGACCUUUCCUUUCUGCUGAAGCUGGGUUUCUGCAGACAGGACAGCAUGUGGGUUAGUUUGUGAGCCCCCAAAGAGCCACUGGCCCUGCAUGGUGAGGCAGGUCUUGCUGCCACAGCUGAAAUUCCCACAGCAAGACAGGAGGUUCUGGCCAGUGAAUACCCAAGACAGUGUGGGAACAGCGUGGUGGCCUGUGAUGGUUUUGCUACAAAGACCUGAUGCAUGACCUGUAUCUACACAACUGCAACCAGGAUGAAACCUGGUGUCCCCGUGGAGGCAGCCAGCUCCCGGUAAAAAGAGAAGCUAGAGUGUCUCCAGCCACAGCUCCUCAACUGGCCACCGAGUCUUCCUCUGAAAGACAUUAGUGGGAUGACAGCAGGGCUGACGUUAACAAAGGAGGUGUGCUGUUAGGCCCGAUGGAAAUGGCAUGUAAAACGCCACACAUUUUGUGCUGUACACACACAGCGGCAUCACCAGAGCUCAGUCCCCAAGCAGGCUGGAUAUUAAAUUGAUCAAACUGGUAAUGAAAGUGGGAAUUACUCCAUCUCAGCCGACACAAGGCAGGUGACCUUAUUAAAAAAUAUGCCAGUGUACUUAAUGGGGUAGGGCAGUUUCUUGGGGAAUUCAUGAUUAAUGGGGCUAUAACUCUAGAGAUCCCACAGCUAAGGCCCCUGGAAAAAGUCUUACUUCCACUGUGAGAUGGCCUGGCUGAAAUUUUUGAGGUGGGUCUGUCUAAAUGCUGGAUCCAGCCUCUGUUUUCUGACAGAGAAGCCAAGACACUCCACAAGUGCUGAGCUGGUGAGGGAACAAGGCGGCCUCAUGCUGGAAGUGGCGAGCUUGGCACAUAAGGAAGCUCAGAGCCGGCUGCUGAUGUGCCUCCUUGUCCUGCUCAGGCUAACCACUGGCAGCAACUCCAACACCCUCACUGUUUAGUCAUCAUGAGAACAGCAGAAGCCACCAUCUGAGAUGCUGUGUGCAAUGUCCCGAGCAAGACCUGACACGCAGAAACCUCAGUAUCCGCUGGUACCUGCAGCCUGGGACAGGGCAUGUGCAACUCUCCCAAGGCAUAUGCAUGGAUGUGGAAAAGGACUGGAGAGUAAGAAAAGCAGCAGUUGGCUGUCCUGGGUCAUAACGCCCAGCCCUUUCUGCACUUUCUUUGCAAAUAAAAAGGAUUAGAGCAAAAAACUAACCCAAGUAUGGGCUAGAGGUUCAGGCCAAGGAGCAUUCACAAUGUGAGCAACAGGCUAGAAACUGGAAGUAGUCAGCAAGAGAAACUGAGCCAAAGUGGACAAAAGAAGCAAAGACACUUGGAGAAUUUUGAGACUGCAGAGUGGAAUUAAAUUUUAAGACAGGAUCCAGGCAUGCUGAAAAAGGAAUAUCCAAGAAAUUACAGGAAAAAAAAAAAAAAAAAAAAAAAAAAAAAAAAAAAAAAA